GAUGCGGUGCAACAUCCUACAGGUCCUUAGAGCAUAGUUCUGUUGAGACGUAGUUUUCAAAGAUGUUCUAGGACCUCCAGAACUUCCACGAAUACAGGCCUGAAAAUCUACGAGCGUAAUCAAUUAUCUGUUGCUAUAUAACUGAUGCGGUGCAACAUCCUACAGAUACAUGGAGCAAGGUUCUAUAGAAAACUACAUUCCAAAGAUGUUCUAGGUCAUCUAAGAAUAUCCACGAGCAAAGAGUUUAAUAUCCACAAGCGUAAUCGAUGGAUUUUUGUUUUAUUACUGAUACGGUGUAACAUAGUUAUUUUCAAAGAAGAUCUAGUGCAUCUAAGAACUUCCGCUAGUAAAGGCCUCAAGAUCUAUAAGCAAAAUCAAUGGGUUAUUGUUACAUUACUGACGCGGUGUAAUAUCCUACACUGCCGUGAAUCGCAUAUCAGUCCCAUCUUUGCUGGUUUUCCUAUGCAAAUGGGACAAAUAUGCGAUUCACGGCAGUACAGGUCCUUGGCGCAUGGUUCUGUAAACGUGCUCUAGACCAUCCAAGGACUUCCGUAAGUAAAGGCCUGUAUCUACUAGCAUAAUCGUAACGUAAUAGAAUAUCUCCAUUCUAAAUGGCUUGCAGUUAAAAAAGCCCCAAAUCGUAUAUUUUACCCUAUAAAUACUGUAUUUUAACCAGUGCUGGAGCAAAUCUGAGUCGGGAUUUGGAUUCAGCGUCCCAAAAUCCGUCAGACACAAAAGUUUGCUCUUGAGACUCACCAAUAGUUAUGUUUUGUUUCGCUGUGUUAUCACAAGUGUAGGCAUGAAGCUAUGGUCUCCGGAGUAGUUUAAUUGAUGGUUUGGAAUAUCUCAAAAGUAUCUUGGUUGGAAUGACUAGUGAAAUAUCAAGGGGGAUUACAGAUAAUAGUUUGAUCUGUAAUGUCACAAUUCAUUGUAAGAAUAACUACUGUUACUGACCCUAUAUGUCCCAAAGGUAUAUAAUAAUAUCUACACGCAGAAAAAUAUUGCUUAGUAGAACUUAAAAAUCCGAUGUUUUGAAUCAACCUUUUUAGUGUACUUUGAAUUAACCCACCCAUAUUUUUGCUUCAAUGCAGCUUUAUUGUUGAAACAAUAAAAUUUCGAAUAGAAUAAAACAUCGCAUCUCCGAUCGAAUAUCAACUGAUUAAAUUUGUUGUUUCAAUAAAGCAGUUUUAAUAGAUUCAACAAUGUUGAAUAGUUUAACUACAACUGUCAUCAAUUUGUCUACAAUGCAAGUUCGGAGCUUCUGGGAGUUUACUCUUUUAGAUCUUGUGAUUUAAAGUGAGACUUUUAUCAAAAUAUCAGAACUUUUUAGGGUAAGUUUAUCAUGCUUUUCUAAAAAUGUAUAAUUUACAUAAAUGAAUAUUUUAGCAAAACAUUUAGGCAUCAAUCAAAGCUGGUAAAACUACAUCUCUGCUAUCCUGGGUGGAACGAAUCAAUUUUAUCAUCAUGACUGAAGCAGCAGGUUGCUUCCAAUCCAGAAUAAAUCGAAAUGGUAAAGAUCGGAAUAAACUGGUUCCUCGUCAAGUUUGUUGGAACGGAUGUCAUAGCCUUCAUAAUUACGUGUUACAUAUUAGCGAAUAUAAAGAAAAUAAAUCGUAAACAUGACAAUUUU